AGCCUGUCUCAGUUCGGAUUGGAGGCUGAAACCCGCCUCCAUGAAGUUGGAUUCGCUAGUAAUCGCGCAUCAGCCAUGGCGCGGUGAAUACGUUCCCGGGCCUUGUACACACCGCCCGUCAAGCCAUGGAAGCCGGGAGUGCCUGAAGUACGCGACCGCAAGGAGCGUCCUAAGGUAAAACCGGUGACUGGGGCUAAGUCGUAACAAGGUAGC
rnacentral:rRNA from 1 species